AAUUGCUAGUAAUCGUGGAUCAGCAUGCCACGGUGAAUACGUUCCCGGGUCUUGUACACACCGCCCGUCACACCAUGGGAGCCGGUAAUACCCGAAGUCAGUAGUCUAACCGCAAGGAGGACGCUGCCGAAGGUAGGAUUGGCGACUGGGGUGAAGUCGUAACAAGGUACC
rnacentral:rRNA from 1 species